GCCAGCUGCGGCGACAGCAUGGCCAUGGUACAUCAAACUUGGACACAGGCACCCAAACUAUCAAUCGAGCGAUGAUACGUGAUGCUACGGAAAUAGCGAAGUAGUCCAGGGGACUCUCCCACAUGGUUUGUGUUAGUUUGCCCUGACGACGACAUAGGGCAGAUUGGGAACACAAUACCCGCCCUAGUGAGCUAUUACAGGCAUCUCAAUGCCCCAAUCCGAUCCGAACUCGGUGUACACAACAAUAGAGACGAGGCAAACACAAGGAAAGAGUCUUACCGAAACUAGCAGCUGUAGGGUAGGCCGACCACGGCGCUGUGUGGGUUCAUUGUGUCCGAAUUGUUCUAGUGAGCAAUCGGCACUAGCUCCGCCCAUGCUCCGGUUUGAUUGGGCGCCGAGCGGAUUGCACACGCUCCCGCGAUGCUUCAAGGCUUGGCACUAGGAUUUCGCCGGUGGUAUGUGGUCGAAUCAAUAGCAGCGACAAAACCCUUCUCUUUCUGCCUCUCCUCGGUGGUGGGGCUCACAGUAAUUUGGGUUCAUGGCUGGAUGGUCGAGGGCACGGGGUAGGCUCGCAUUUGUAUGCCAGCGUGGUUAGAGUUUGCUACACUGACGUUGAAGCAUGAGACCAAGAUCCUGGGUGGAUACCCCGACAUUUGGUUAUGAUCACACGAAAAAGAUAUGCAAGACAGGGAGGUCCCACAUGUUGGCCAGAGCGAUUAGGAGCGCCAAGGGAAUGUCGCUAUGCAAUGGGUCCACACUAUAGUGGUAGAGGGCCCAUGCAGGAUGAAACCGGAAGCGGGCCAUAAGAGUUGGAGCCGGGGUGUGGCUAGGCUAUG
rnacentral:lncRNA from 7 species